rnacentral:rRNA from 1 species
GACGAACCGUGCGAACGUUGUUCGGAUUCACUGGGCUUAAAGGGCGCGUAGGCGGGCCGCUAAGUCCGGGGUGAAAGCCCCCAGCUUAACUGGGGAAGUGCCUCGGAUACAGGCGGCCUCGAGGGGGAUAGGGGCCCGCGGAACUUCGGGUGGAGCGGUGAAAUGCGUUGAUAUCCGAAGGAACGCCGGUGGCGAAAGCGGCGGGCUGGAUCCCUUCUGACGCUGAGGCGCGAAAGCCAGGGGAGCAAACGGG